rnacentral:rRNA from 1 species
CAGUCGCCGCGGUAAUACGGAGGGAGCUAGCGUUGUUCGGAAUCACUGGGCGUAAAGCGCACGUAGGCGGCUAUUCAAGUCAGGGGUGAAAGCCCGGGGCUCAACCCCGGAACUGCCUUUGAAACUAGAUAGCUUGAAUCUUGGAGAGGCGAGUGGAAUUCCGAGUGUAGAGGUGAAAUUCGUAGAUAUUCGGAAGAACACCAGUGGCGAAGGCGACUCGCUGGACAAGUAUUGACGCUGAGGUGCGAAAGCGUGGGGAGCAAACAGGAUUAGAGACCCGCGUAGUCCCUGUCUCUUAUAC